rnacentral:lncRNA from 1 species
UUCAUCACCCCCUACAAAAAGGUUGUUUAUCUAGAACUUGUCCUGUAGCCAGGCCUUUGAAUGAUUCUGCCCCUGCUGGCAGAGUGUAAUGAUGACUCAAACAUCAUAGCAGAGACUUUUUUUUUUCACAUAGGUUGAUUUUGAAAUGACACAUGUUAUAUGCCUGACUGAAACCAGAGUUUAGGCUAUUCAUCCUUACAUAGAUUUAAAUUUAUUCAUUAUUAUAAUCUAUGGUUCCAAAACAAAAGAAAUAGAAGCACGAUAUGUUUUCCUCUACAAAACCAUUUUAAAAUAACUUGAUAUGUUAUGAUUUUUUUAAUGUCUGUUAAACUUGAGAUUUUAUUCCCAAAAGUUGUCUUGUAGAAAUUACACUAAUGAUAUGCUUCCGUAUGUUAAUUUUUGUACAUAAAAAAGCCUGAG